rnacentral:rRNA from 1 species
UGGGGAAUUUUGGACAAUGGGGGGAAACCCUGAUCCAGCCAUCCCGCGUGUGCGAUGAAGGCCUUCGGGUUGUAAAGCACUUUUGGCAGGAAAGAAACGUCGCGGGUUAAUACCCCGCGAAACUGACGGUACCUGCAGAAUAAGCACCGGCUAACUACGUGCCAGCAGCCGCGGUAAUACGUAGGGUGCAAGCGUUAAUCGGAAUUACUGGGCGUAAAGCGUGCGCAGGCGGUUCGGAAAGAAAGAUGUGAAAUCCCAGAGCUUAACUUUGGAACUGCAUUUUUAACUACCGGGCUAGAGUGUGUCAGAGGGAGGUGGAAUUCCGCGUGUAGCAGUGAAAUGCGUAGAUAUGCGGAGGAACACCGAUGGCGAAGGCAGCCUCCUGGGAUAACACUGACGCUCAUGCACGAAAGCGUGGGGAGCAAACAGGAUUAGAGUACCCUGGUAGUCCACGCCCUAAACGAUGUCAACUAGCUGUUGGGGCCUUCGGGCCUUGGUAGCGCAGCUAACGCGUGAAGUUGACCGCCU